rnacentral:rRNA from 1 species
UAGGGAAUCUUCCGCAAUGGGCGAAAGCCUGACGGAGCAACGCCGCGUGAGUGAUGAAGGUCUUCGGAUCGUAAAACUCUGUUAUUAGGGAAGAACAAAUGUGUAAGUAACUAUGCACGUCUUGACGGUACCUAAUCAGAAAGCCACGGCUAACUACGUGCCAGCAGCCGCGGUAAUACGUAGGUGGCAAGCGUAAUCCGGAAUUAUUGGGCGUAAAGCGCGCGUAGGCGGUUUUUUAAGUCUGAUGUGAAAGCCCACGGCUCAACCGUGGAGGGGCAUUGGAAACUGGAAAACUUGAGUGCAGAAGAGGAAAGUGGAAUUCCAUGUGUAGCGGUGAAAUGCGCAGAGAUAUGGAGGAACACCAGUGGCGAAGGCGACUUUCUGGUCUGUAACUGACGCUGAUGUGCGAAAGCGUGGGGAUCAAACAGG